AAUAUUUGAAAAUGGGGGAAACCCUGAUGCAGCGACGCCGCGUGAGCGAUGAAGGCCUUCGGGUCGUCCCGCUCUGUCCUCAGGGAAGAAGAAAGUGACGGUACCUGAGAAGAAAGCCCCGGCUAACUACGUGCCAGCAGCCGCGGUAAUACGUAGGGGGCAAGCGUUGUCCGGAAUUAUUGGGCGUAAAGGGUGCGUAGGCGGCUUUUUAAGUCAGAUGUGAAAGACCACAGCUUAACUGUGGGGUUGCAUUUGAAACUGGAGAGCUUGAGUAUCGGAGAGGGUAGUGGAAUUCCUGGAGUAGCGGUGAAAUGCGUAGAUAUCAGGAGGAACACCAGUGGCGAAGGCGACUACCUGGACGAAAACUGACGCUGAGGCACGAAAGCUAGGGGAGCAAACA
rnacentral:rRNA from 1 species